rnacentral:rRNA from 1 species
AGUGAACGCUGGCGGUAGGCCUAACACAUGCAAGUCGAACGGCAGCACAGUAAGAGCUUGCUCUUACGGGUGGCGAGUGGCGGACGGGUGAGGAAUACAUCGGAAUCUACUUUUUCGUGGGGGAUAACGUAGGGAAACUUACGCUAAUACCGCAUACGACCUACGGGUGAAAGCAGGGGAUCUUCGGACCUUGCGCGAUUGAAUGAGCCGAUGUCGGAUUAGCUGGUUGGCGGGGUAAAGGCCCACCAAGGCGACGAUCCGUAGCUGGUCUGAGAGGAUGAUCAGCCACACUGGAACUGAGACACGGUCCAGACUCCUACGGGAGGCAGCAGUGGGGAAGAUUGGACAAUGGGCGCAAGCCUGAUCCAGCCAUACCGCGUGGGUGAAGAAGGGCUUCGGGUUGUAAAGCCCUUUUGUUGGGAAAGAAAAGCAGCAGGUUAAUACCCCGCUGUUCUGACGGUACCCAAAGAAUAAGCACCGGCUAACUUCGUG